rnacentral:rRNA from 1 species
ACUAACUAGGAUUCCCUCAGUAGCGGCGAGCGAACAGGGAGAAGCCCAGCACCGAAUCCCGCGGCCCGCACGGGACGCCGCGAAAUGUGGUGUUAGGGAGGAUCCGUCAUCCCGAGAUCCGGCGACGCGUCCAAGUCCUUCUUGAACGGGGCCACUUACCCACAGAGGGUGCCAGGCCCGUGGGACCGCCGCCGAUCGCGGGAGGAUCUCUCCUCAGAGUCGGGUUGCUUGAGAGUGCAGCCCUAAGCGGGUGGUAAACUCCAUCUAAGGCUAAAUAUGACCACGAGACCGAUAGCGAACAAGUACCGUGAGGGAAAGUUGAAAAGAACUUUGAAGAGAGAGUUCAAUAGUACGUGAAACCGUUCAGGGGUAAACCUGAGAAACCCGAUAGUUCGAACGGGGAGAUUCAGCGCGUCUCGAGGCGUGCGAGUGCCGGCCGCGGGACGGACCGUCGCUUCGGCGGCGGCCCGCUCCGGCCGUGCGCCGUGCAGAUCUCGAACGCGUGCACUUCUCUCCCAGUAGGACGUCGCGACCCGUUGGGCGUCGGUCUGAGGACCGCGCAGGAGCCCGGACGGCCGGCACCGCUCACGCGGUCGUCGGUCGUACGGACGCGCGGACUCCCGGCCGACUCGCUCGACGGUACGACAGAGGCGCGGGGCCGCGACACAGAUCGCGUCCGGCCCGUCGCAAGCGCGGACGGCUCACCCGACCGUCGGACCUGCGUGCCGACAUCGGGCCCGCCCGGCUGCUGGCGACGGUGUUCCCGGACAGACUCCGAUUCGAACGAUGAACGCCCGUCUGCGACGCUAAUGCUUUGGGUACUUUCAGGANNNNNNNNNNNNNNNNNNNNNNNNNNNNNAGCAUGUGCGCGAGUCAUUGGGACUUUUGCGAAUCCUAAAGGCGCAAUGAAAGUGAAGGCCGCGCCUAGCGCGCGCGCCCAGGGAGGAUGGGCGGCGGCAACACGUCGCCCCGCACUCCCGGGGCGUCUCGUUCUCAUCGCGAGAAGAGGCGCACCCAGAGCGUACACGCUGGGACCCGAAAGAUGGUGAACUAUGCCUGGUCAGGACGAAGUCAGGGGAAACCCUGAUGGAGGUCCGUAGCGAUUCUGACGUGCAAAUCGAUCGUCGGAACUGGGUAUAGGGGCGAAAGACUAAUCGAACCAUCUAGUAGCUGGUUCCCUCCGAAGUUUCCCUCAGGAUAGCUGGCGCUCGCGAAACAAACUUGAGUCGAACGAGUUUCAUCCGGUAAAGCGAAUGAUUAGAGGCAUUGGGGUCGAAACGUCCUCAACCUAUUCUCAAACUUUAAAUGGGUGAGAUCUCCGGCUUGCUUGAACGUGCGCGUCGGUCGGUCUCGGCCGGCCGGCGCGUCCUGAAGCCGCGAGAAUAUCUAUUAUAUUGAAUCAGAG